UUACUUUCCUGAUAAGGGAGACAUCAUGAUUAUAGAGGUGAUUAUAGCCAAGGUGAGGGUCCUUCAUUGCACUCCAGGUGUUCUGACCCCUGCAAUUUCCCCAAAUGCAGGAAACUCAACUGCAUAAUUUGUGUGUGUGUGGUGGUGGUAGUGGGGGACUGUG